AAUCUUGGAUCCGCCACUGCUCUUUAACCAAUCACCGCGUUACAACUCCCUUGAUACUAUGCUUAUGUUGCAUAUAAAGCUGAAGAUUUCCACCUUCAAACAUCAGUCUUCUUAGAAGUCUAACAAGAGCAACUUCGCACCGACAAUUUGCUUCAGUUUUUMCAGUGAGUUCAASCUCGUAGUUCAGUAGCACGAUGAGAUUCCUUCUGAUAUUGCUGGUCGUUCUUGCCAUGGUUUCGUUCCCAGAGGUUUCUGGCUUUUGCACUUACCCCGGUUGCUUUGAGAAAAGAGCAGUGAACAAGGCAGCAGUAGAAGCCAAGAGAGAGGCGACGAUGGAGAGACUCCAAGAAUUGAAGAAUAAUAUGAAGUAAUGAACACCAUGAAUAUGAUUCUAUAAGUGUCAGUAUGAUGAUAAAAGUUUAAACGUAAACUAGCUUCUUAAUUGAGUUAAAUACUUAAAAUAACAUGUAAAACGCGUGGUCAUUUGACCACUGAGGUAUCCUGGAGUAACGCUGUCACAAUCAAUAAAAGUUAAUGGUAACUCUA